rnacentral:rRNA from 1 species
UACGGGGGGGGCAAGCGUUGUUCGGAAUUACUGGGCGUAAAGGGUGCGUAGGCGGUGCGCUAAGUUGGAUGUGAAAACUCUGGGCUUAACCCAGAGACUGCAUUCAAAACUGACGUGCUAGAGUUCUGGAGGGGGUAGCGGAAUUCCUGGUGUAGCGGUGAAAUGCGUAGAUAUCAGGAGGAACACCGGUGGCGAAGGCGGCUACCUGGACAGAGUCUGACGCUGAGGCACGAAAGCUAGGGGAGCAAACAGG